rnacentral:lncRNA from 1 species
GCAAACCUAGAUCCGUUUUUCGUUUCUCUAGAUUUUCUAAGUCUCUGUUAAUCCUAUCUAACUUGGGAGACAACCUAUGAGUUAGUGAGAAAUUUGUGCAGCAUGAUGGGAUGAGCUUUCUUACCAUGCUGGUGGAUGCUUCAGGUUCCUGCAGGGGUCAGCUCACGAUGCAUGUCUUCGGUAGCCAAAUCGUCGAGUACGUCAUUGAUAUCGUAAGCCAGAUGUUGGAGAGCAUUCAACCAUGAUUUGACAGAUUUAUGAGUCACCUCCUUCUGGGAAGCAUCAUUAAGCAGAUCUUGGAUCCUGGACAGUGUGCUCUUCAACUCCUUCAGCUCGUUGUGAAAUCCCUGAGCGCGAGCAAUUCGCUUGAAGGCUUCAUCAGACAGCUUCUGGAAAAGGACUUUGACGAGUUCAGUAGCAAUAGUUUCAGCCAUUGUUUAUUGCAAUUACAAAAACU